UUGACCUCGAAUCAGGUAGGACUACCCGCUGAACUUAAGCAUAUCAAUAAGCCCGGAGGAAA
rnacentral:rRNA from 1 species